UACGUAGGGUGCAGGCGUUAAUCGGAAUUACUGGGCGUAAAGCGUGCGCAGGCGGCUCCUUAAGUCAGAUGUGAAAGCCCCGGGCUCAACCUGGGAAUGGCCAUGGAAACUGGCGAACUGGAGUGUGGCAGAGGGGGGUGGAAUUCCGCGUGUAGCAGUGAAAUGCGUAGAGAUGCGGAGGAACACCGAUGGCGAAGGCAGCCCCCUGGGCUAGCACUGACGCUCAGGCACGAAAGCGUGGGGAGCAAACAGG
rnacentral:rRNA from 1 species